CAAGUUUUAUGAUCCAAUAGAUGAGGUAUUUUAUGAGACUGAAUCUCUUUACCGGGCAUUAUGUUAUGAAUGUAGGUAACAUUCCAUACCUACGGGAAUGGGUGUUACAUAUUAGCAAAGUAAAGA